rnacentral:rRNA from 1 species
UACGUAGGGUGCAAGCGUUAUCCGGAAUUAUUGGGCGUAAAGAGCUCGUAGGCGGUUUGUCGCGUCUGCUGUGAAAACUGGAGGCUCAACCUCCAGCCUGCAGUGGGUACGGGCAGACUAGAGUGCGGUAGGGAGAUUGGAAUUCCUGGUGUAGCGGUGGAAUGCGCAGAUAUCAGGAGGAACACCGAUGGCGAAGGCAGAUCUCUGGGCCGAUACUGACGCUGAGGAGCGAAAGCGUGGGGAGCGAACAGG